UACGUAGGGGGCAAGCGUUGUCCGGAUUUACUGGGCGUAAAGCGCGCGUAGGCGGUCUCUUAAGUCGGAUGUGAAAGCCCUUGGCUCAACUGAGGAAGUGCAUCCGAAACUGAGAGGCUUGAGUACGAAAGAGGGUCGCGGAAUUCCCGGUGUAGAGGUGAAAUUCGUAGAUAUCGGGAGGAACACCGGUGGCGAAGGCGGCGACCUGGGUCGAUACUGACGCUGAGGCGCGAAAGCGUGGGGAGCAAACAGG
rnacentral:rRNA from 1 species